rnacentral:rRNA from 1 species
AGGACGAACGCUGGCGGCGUGGAUUAGGCAUGCAAGUUGAGCGACGAUUAAGGGCUUGCCCUUAAUACGGAGCAGCGAACGGGUGAGUAACACGUGAACAAUCUGUCCCUUCAUUCCGGAUAAUUGAUCGAAAGGUCUUGUAAUACGGGCGAGGGUCCUACUUAAGCAUUUUUGUGGGAAGGAAGGCGCAAGCCGUGCAGGGAGGAGUUCGCGGCCUAUCAGUUAGUUGGUGGGGUAAUGGCCUACCAAGACGACGACGGGUAGCUGGU